UGGAUCCUGCAAGGCGUAUCGCUUCUUUUUUUUUCCUCUUCGAACCACGGACGAGAGGGCACGGGCGGGGGCGGGAGGACACUCUUGGCGCCCCACCGCCUCCUUCUCUCUAUGUGUGUUUGCGUUCCAUCUUGCUUUGCUUUGUCUUCUCCCCCCCACCCUCCUUGACGCCGUCUCCGCCGCGCACGCGUGCGCACGUCUGCCCACACGGGAGAGAGAGGUGGAUAAUCACCGCUUUCUUCUUCGUUUCGUUACACUUGACGGCUCCACGCCUGUCUGUUGAGGUCGAGUGAGGGAGAGGGAGGGGGUGGGUGGGGCGUCGUGGGCAGACAACCCGCCGACAGCUUCGUUACAGUAUACUCAAUUGAAGCACAAGCCUUUCAGACGGAGAGCUGUUUGCAUCCUUUUCCUUGUUUUCUGCUGUGCCUUCUCUCUUCUGGGCCACCUUUCAGCGCCGCGACAACCCCUUUUUCUGUGCGCUGUGAUUUCCUCCGUGAUCUUCGGCCGAUUUCCUUGAAAGUUCUGUUUACUUCGCAUCCGUUGUACGAGCUCCCUCCCUCCCGCAGGUUUCGAUCUCAUACAUAGACUCCCGAUAAGCACACACAUAGAUAAACACUACAUAAAGUGGACAAAAAAGGCCGGCGACCUUCGCGUCUGCCGCACCAAGGCAUAAGGCAUGACCGACAACGCAGCAUGGCGGUCUCGUGUGAUGCACGGCACGUGCCGUUCCUCACCACCACAAGACGCCCACCUGUCCACCCCAGCGGGGGCGGCUGCUCCUCUUGCGCCACAUCCCCCACAGACGCCUCUGCCGUCCGCUGCCGAACCUUCCUCCUAUGUUCCAGCGUCUUCAGCGGCCGCUGCGCCACCCCUACUAGCAUCGUUGCCUAUUGGGGAGAGUGGCGGCAUGACCUCCUUCAACUCACUUGGAGGUGGUGCCGGCGGCCCGGCAGAAGCAGUGACGCGUCUUCAAGAGGUCCUGCGGGACAUCUGCGCGACGGAGCGACGACAGGAGAAGACGUGGCUGAAUGUGCAACCCUGCGUCCUGAACGCGGUGAAGCUGCUCGCUGCAACCGCGCAAAUGUACGCUGAACGAGUGCGGCAGCUGGAAGGUGUGCUGCAGCACCUUCAGCAGUACACGACUGUGCUCGUGCAAGAUCGCGAGGUCAAGGAAGAGCGCUAUCGCCUGGAUGCCGCCGCGCACCGCGAGGAGGCAGACGAGUUGUGGAAGCGCUUGCUCCGUCUCGAGGCCCAGCAACAGGUACCGUCGCUGCAGAUCGAUCAACGAGCGUCGGAGGCGUUCAAGGCAAGUUGCGAGGCAGCUGUGGAAGCUCGAGUAGCCCCGCUUCAGCAGGAGCUGCAGGGCCUCCGGCACCAGCUGAAGGCGCUGGCGCUCUCACACCCAUACUCUUCCCUCUACAACCGUCACGUGCGCUCGAGCAGCGUCGCCUCCAACUCUUCCGCCUUGACGGUGAGGGACGACUAUUACGCUGACGGCGAUGGCGUGGCCGCCUCACAGCGCCGCCACCACUCGGCCGACUCAUCCUCUAGCACCUCCUCUUUGUCAUCGCCCGCAUCUUCGACAGCGUCUUCGCUUGGCCGGCACGAGCAGCGCCAUCGAAGAGGUAGAGUCGCGACGACAAGUGCGCCUACAUUCACCCCGCGUGCACUUGCGCCGGCGACUGCUGCCGCUUCUCCCAGCACGCAGAUGAUGAUGCGCGAGGUCCGGCGGCUGCGGCGACAGUGGCAGCAGUUUCUGCAGUCUGUGCCUGCCGCAUUGGCCCAGGGCAAGGGUCCGUGCGGUGCCGGCCUUCGCCGCCGCGACAUCAGCGGCUCCCCCAGUCGCCGGCUGUCGCGGCUGACAUCAAAAGACGGCCGCCGUGACUUGGCGGGCGGGCUCAAUGACGUGACGAGGGCGAACGGGGAGGGCGUGGGGAGCAUUAAUGGUAAUCCGCCGCAGCCGUUUCGUGUCCCGGCGCAUCAUCCACCCUCUUCACCGACGGAUGCUAUGCUUCCCAAGUAUUCGUCUGGCCCGACGCGUGCGCAUAGUGGCGCGAGAGCCGCCGAGCCCUCUACUGCGCUGCCAGCCUCCGGCCGCCGGGUUCGGUGGUACUGGUUGGGGGAUGCACAUAGCCACUUCUCCACGGCCACCCGCCGCGCAGAAAACGACUUGGCCGCCGCGAAACCGCUCAGCGAGCGACCUCAGCCGGCUCUGAGUGGGGCUAGUCCGGCGCUUCCGUGGACGGAGUGUCACGCCUUUGACGGCCGUACUGACUGCUGGUACAGUCUGGGGACGUGGGCGACCCACCGGCGCCACCUACGAGAGGUGGAGCGGGCAGUGGAGGAGGGUGCGAGCAGGAACAGCGGUGACGUUCGGCUGGGCUGGCUGAAAUGGACGUCGUCUCUCGUCAGCUGGCCCGACACGUCAACGAUGCUCGUGCAUAGGGCCGGCAUCUACAUGGUGCGCGUGUGCCUCGUGCGUCACUGCGCGUCGGCGAGCCUGUGUAGCGGGGCAGGGCGCGCAGAGUCUGUCGGCCGCGACUGCGGCAGCGGUGGUGCGCUGGCGCUCUGUAUGAACGGCGUCGCGGUGGCCGGGCUGCGGGAGGUGGUCACGCACGCGCUUCUCUACACUCACUCCGCCGCCUCUCCUGCCGAGGCUGCCGCACCGUGGUGGGCCACGCGAGGCAGAUCGCGCAGCACCUGUGCUUCUGCAGGCAACUAUUGCUCUGCCGUUGACGGUGUUGCGCACUCACCCGCAUGCGCAUCCCCUGGCGGGUCACCCUCGCGGCGUCGCUUCCACGGUGACAUCGCCGACGCGACUCAGCGCCAGCGGCCCUGCUGCGAACCAGCGCAGCUGCACACGAACACCCUCACUGCCUGCCUCUUCCUGCCGGCGGGUGCGAUGCUGCAGGUGCGCUGCCGCGGGCUGCACAACACCAAAACGAUUCACGAAGCCUUCUGUGAGCUCGAGUACGUGGUGUGAGGUGAUGAUCGGCGCACAGAUAUAUGCACAGAGUUCGCCAUUUUUUUUCCGUUUUUGCCCUCUUCCCCCCAACUACUUCUUGGUACCCGGAGGCACGUGUCUGGGCAUGUCCGCGUGAUGCGUGUGUGUAUGCGUCUGUACUCGUGCGCGGCGCAGACAAGGACAGUAGUUGGGGACAGCGAGAGGGCAGACGACGGAGAAGCCCAACGGACUCGGGAUGCAAAGGGGUGGGUGCACCACCGCGGUUGUCAUAGACGCAAGCAGAGAUAUCCCCUGCAGAAACGCAUGAGACACGCACAACCGUAGAAAUAGCCUCACAAGAAGAGUGCCAUACGUCUGCCUGGUGGCAAAUGCCUACGACGCAGCGUCCGAUCGCAAGAGCAUCACUGAGCGGCCGCAUCAUGCGUCCUGAUCGCCUUGUUCGCGGUUUCUUUCGAGCCUUAUGGUGUGAUGCGAGUCUUUUGCCGCUUUUGUUUCUGUGUAAUUUGCAUGACCCUUGGCGAAGCCAUACACGAAUGCGAUGCAGAGAUGCUUCAAUGCCCCCUCCCCCUCCCACUGUCUACCUUUCUACACCCCAAAUCUUCUCUCCUCUGUCGCCUUCACCCCCUGUGCUGGUGUGUCUCUUCGUACCCGUACUCGUCCCUCUCUCGUCUCUCUCUGAGUGUGCGUGUCUCUGGCGCAUAG
rnacentral:misc_RNA from 1 species